CUGAAACGCAACUGUAUGCAUUUAUAUAUUAGGAAGACCGAUCAAAUUUCUCUCUUUUGGCUCGCUUGCUCGUUCGCAGUAGCUUUUAUUAUGUGGAAUUCGGUUGUAUAGCAACAAUGUCCUCGUCAUCAAUGCGGCAACUCGACUUGGAGGCGUGUCCUACUACAAAGGAUUUCGUCCUCAACCAUGAAGAUGAGCACCACCAACAACCGCUCGAAAAUGAAUCUGAUCCCUUUGAUAUUGCUCAUACCAAGAAUGCUCCUCAUAAGACUCUCA
rnacentral:misc_RNA from 1 species